rnacentral:rRNA from 1 species
GAUGAACGCUGGCGGCGUGCCUAAUACAUGCAAGUCGAGCGAACAGAUGAGGAGCUUGCUCCUCUGACGUUAGCGGCGGACGGGUGAGUAACACGUGGAUAACCUACCUAUAAGACUGGGAUAACUUCGGGAAACCGGAGAUAAUACCGGAGAAUAUAUUGAACCGCAUGGUUCAAUAGUGAAAGACGGUUUUGCUGUCACUUAUAGAUGGAUCCGCGCCGCAUUAGCUAGUUGGUAAGGUAACGGCUUACCAAGGCAACGAUGCGUAGCCGACCUGAGAGGGUGAUCGGCCACACUGGAACUGAGACACGGUCCAGACUCCUACGGGAGGCAGCAGUAGGGAAUCUUCCGCAAUGGGCGAAAGCCUGACGGAGCAACGCCGCGUGAGUGAUGAAGGUCUUCGGAUCGUAAAACUCUGUUAUUAGGGAAGAACAAAUGUGUAAGUAACUAUGCACGUCUUGACGGUACCUAAUCAGAAAGCCACGGCUAACUACGUG